CGCGAACCUCUCCCCACGCCCAGCAACAAGCGGGAGCAGGGUCCGGGAGGGCGGUGCGGGCGGUGCUUUCCGUAGGGAUCUCACAACUCGUCGAGGUGGGCGGCGGCGCCAUUUUGAAUUGGCUGCGGGUUGGCGGUAGUGGCUGGUUAGCCAAGCUCCGCGUUCUCCAGGAAUAAGAGCGGGGAAGGAGAGAGGUCUAAAUAUGGCGGCGAAUAGGAACCUGAAGCAAGUGCGGAUCGAGAAUAGCUCCCCGGCAGCGCCGUUGGGCAUGGUCGGGGGUGGCGGCGGCAACCUGAAGGGAUUGCGAGGCCUAGAAGCGGAGGGUGAGGCAUCGGCGGCCAUGGCACUAGUACCGAGUAAAGAAGGUGGAGAUGAGGAACAGGAGGUUGGGUUCACCAUCGAUAUAAAGAGCUUUCUCAAACCUGGAGAGAAAAGCUACACGCAGCGCUGCCGACUGUUCGUGGGGAAUCUGCCUACUGAUAUUACUGAGGAAGAUUUCAAGCGCCUCUUCGAGCGCUACGGGGAGCCUAGCGAGGUCUUCAUCAAUCGGGAUCGCGGCUUCGGCUUCAUUCGCCUGGAAUCUAGGACUCUGGCUGAAAUAGCAAAAGCAGAACUUGAUGGUACGAUUUUGAAGAGCAGACCACUUCGAAUUCGAUUUGCUACACAUGGAGCUGCCCUAACAGUCAAGAACCUUUCACCCGUGGUUUCUAAUGAGCUGCUGGAACAAGCAUUCUCGCAAUUUGGGCCAGUGGAAAGAGCAGUGGUUGUAGUAGAUGAUCGUGGCAGAGCUACAGGAAAAGGUUUUGUAGAGUUUGCAGCAAAACCUCCAGCACGGAAAGCUCUAGAAAGAUGUAGUGAAGGGGCAUUCUUGCUAACAACAACACCUCGACCUGUCGUUGUAGAACCAAUGGAACAAUUUGAUGAUGAAGAUGGUCUCCCAGAGAAACUAAUGCAGAAAACACAGCAGUAUCACAAGGAAAGAGAACAACCUCCACGUUUUGCUCAGCCUGGAACAUUUGAGUUUGAGUAUGCUUCACGUUGGAAGGCUCUUGAUGAGAUGGAAAAGCAACAGCGUGAGCAGGUUGACAGAAACAUUAGAGAAGCCAAAGAGAAACUAGAGGCAGAAAUGGAAGCAGCUAGACAUGAACAUCAGCUAAUGCUGAUGAGGCAAGAUCUCAUGCGACGUCAAGAAGAAUUAAGGCGUUUGGAAGAACUUCGAAAUCAAGAACUUCAAAAACGCAAACAGAUACAAUUGAGGCAUGAGGAAGAACAUAGACGUCGUGAAGAAGAGAUGCUACGCCAGAGGGAGCAAGAGGAAUUACGACGACAGCAGGAGGGAGGAUUUAAGCCAAAUUUCAUGGACAAUAUCACUAUUGCAAUCUUAAAAUGCAGAUGAAGAUUGGCUUGCUUAUGCGUAUGAAAGGGAAUCCUAAAACAAGUUUUAGAACAAGGCUUUGAUGGAAACCACUGGUGGCUGUACACCUUCAGAACGGAAGAUGGCUUUCUGCCACACUCUGAUCCCAUGCAAAAUGGUGCUCUUCAAGUUGGAGUUACAAGGACCAUCAGGGCAGGUUUGCUCUCAACACCCGAGGGAACAGAGCUGUUUGAAAUGAUGGGGAGGGGACCAGCAUGGAGAUGGUGUCCCACAGGACCACCUCAGCCUGGAGAAGACAUACUGGAAGAAUAUGGACGCAACACUGCUUGUGAGGCUCAAGAUGCCUCUUCCCAUGUAAGGAGAGGAGUUGCAGUUUUUCUGGUGUUACUGUCUUCAGCCCCUAGCUGAGGAAGUGGAACUCGGUGAUAUGGAAAGUUGAGUGUUUCACAGUAAAGUUGAUGCUGGCCAGCUCUGAUGAAUAACUGAGAUCUUGACUUCUUUUUUCUCUAGAGUGUACCAGAAGCAGAUUGAUGGUGUUGGUAAGAAGAUUAUAGAGCCUAUACAUGCUACAGCAGGAAUCAAUGAUGCACUGAACUUGCUGCUUGGUUAAAUGGUUUUUGGACUAAAAAACUCAACUGUUAAAUAAGAAAAUAUUUUUGGACACUAAAAUACAUGAUAAGAGACAUGAAUGUUGGGGGGGGGCGGUACUGAAAGACAAAACAAUAGUGUGGAUUGUGUUAAGAGUUUAGUACUUCUGCACGCUUUUAAAGAGAAAAAGCCUGGAAAGGACUGGAAGAAGAUGUUAACCAAUGGUGAGUUUUUAAAAGCUGCAGUGAAAUGUCCCUGUUUAUGAUCUAAGGUGGAGAAGUUACGAUAAAGAUAGCUUCUGUCUUAACACAGCCUGACAGAGGUCUGUGAAAUGAAUAAUGAAAAAUUAGUUCUGAUGCUUUGCAGAGGCUGAUAUGGAAGUCCUGAGGGACAAGGGAAGAUGGUGUCCAAAGAGAACAACUGAGCUGGGGCUAGGAGUGCAAUCUUCAAUACUUGUGAGACUGCAGCUGGAGUGCUGGGACCAGUGGUAGGCUCCUGAAGAUUAUCAUGUAUGGGAACAAGUGCAGUGGAGACCACAAAGAUGCUUAGGAGGUUAGAACAAGAGCCACGAGGACAGGCAGUAGGGGUUUGUUCUGUCUGGAAAGCAGGAGGUCAGAAGUAAGAUAGCUUGCUUCAGCAGUGUUAAUGGAAGACGGUUACCUUGGCAGUGCAGAGACAUGAGGAAGUCUUCUCUCAUUUUCAGUGGAAGUGUUGCAUCAUACCACUAAUAAAAACAGUGCAAGUCA